AGAGUUUGAUCCUGGCUCAGGAUGAACGCUAGCUACAGGCUUAACACAUGCAAGUCGAGGGGCAGCAUGGUCUUAGCUUGCUAAGGCCGAUGGCGACCGGCGCACGGGUGAGUAACACGUAUCCAACCUGCCGUCUACUCUUGGACAGCCUUCUGAAAGGAAGAUUAAUACAAGAUGGCAUCAUGAGUCCGCAUGUUCACAUGAUUAAAGGUAUUCCGGUAGACGAUGGGGAUGCGUUCCAUUAGAUAGUAGGCGGGGUAACGGCCCACCUAGUCUUCGAUGGAUAGGGGUUCUGAGAGGAAGGUCCCCCACAUUGGAACUGAGACACGGUCCAAACUCCUACGGGAGGCAGCAGUGAGGAAUAUUGGUCAAUGGGCGAGAGCCUGAACCAGCCAAGUAGCGUGAAGGAUGACUGCCCUAUGGGUUGUAAACUUCUUUUAUAAAGGAAUAAAGUCGGGUAUGCAUACCCGUUUGCAUGUACUUUAUGAAUAAGGAUCGGCUAACUCCGUGCCAGCAGCCGCGGUAAUACGGAGGAUCCGAGCGUUAUCCGGAUUUAUUGGGUUUAAAGGGAGCGUAGAUGGAUGUUUAAGUCAGUUGUGAAAGUUUGCGGCUCAACCGUAAAAUUGCAGUUGAUACUGGAUAUCUUGAGUGCAGUUGAGGCAGGCGGAAUUCGUGGUGUAGCGGUGAAAUGCUUAGAUAUCACGAAGAACUCCGAUUGCGAAGGCAGCCUGCUAAGCUGCAACUGACAUUGAGGCUCGAAAGUGUGGGUAUCAAACAGGAUUAGAUACCCUGGUAGUCCACACGGUAAACGAUGAAUACUCGCUGUUUGCGAUAUACAGCAAGCGGCCAAGCGAAAGCGUUAAGUAUUCCACCUGGGGAGUACGCCGGCAACGGUGAAACUCAAAGGAAUUGACGGGGGCCCGCACAAGCGGAGGAACAUGUGGUUUAAUUCGAUGAUACGCGAGGAACCUUACCCGGGCUUAAAUUGCAGAUGAAUUACGGUGAAAGCCGUAAGCCGCAAGGCAUCUGUGAAGGUGCUGCAUGGUUGUCGUCAGCUCGUGCCGUGAGGUGUCGGCUUAAGUGCCAUAACGAGCGCAACCCUUGUUGUCAGUUACUAACAGGUUCUGCUGAGGACUCUGACAAGACUGCCAUCGUAAGAUGUGAGGAAGGUGGGGAUGACGUCAAAUCAGCACGGCCCUUACGUCCGGGGCUACACACGUGUUACAAUGGGGGGUACAGAGGGCCGCUACCACGCGAGUGGAUGCCAAUCCCAAAAACCUCUCUCAGUUCGGACUGGAGUCUGCAACCCGACUCCACGAAGCUGGAUUCGCUAGUAAUCGCGCAUCAGCCACGGCGCGGUGAAUACGUUCCCGGGCCUUGUACACACCGCCCGUCAAGCCAUGGGAGCCGGGGGUACCUGAAGUGCGUAACCGCGAGGAGCGCCCUAGGGUAAAACUGGUGACUGGGGCUAAGUCGUAACAAGGUAGCCGUACCGGAAGGUGCGGCUG
rnacentral:rRNA from 1 species